UAUGGUUGUAGAGGGUUAGAGUCC
rnacentral:piRNA from 2 species